rnacentral:rRNA from 1 species
AGAGUUUGAUCAUGGCUCAGAUUGAACGCUGGCGGCAGGCCUAACACAUGCAAGUCGAGCGGUAGCACAGAGAGCUUGCUCUCGGGUGACGAGCGGCGGACGGGUGAGUAAUGUCUGGGAAACUGCCUGAUGGAGGGGGAUAACUACUGGAAACGGUAGCUAAUACCGCAUAAUGUCGCAAGACCAAAGUGGGGGACCUUCGGGCCUCAUGCCAUCAGAUGUGCCCAGAUGGGAUUAGCUAGUAGGUGGGGUAACGGCUCACCUAGGCGACGAUCCCUAGCUGGUCUGAGAGGAUGACCAGCCACACUGGAACUGAGACACGGUCCAGACUCCUACGGGAGGCAGCAGUGGGGAAUAUUGCACAAUGGGCGCAAGCCUGAUGCAGCCAUGCCGCGUGUGUGAAGAAGGCCUUCGGGUUGUAAAGCACUUUCAGCGGGGAGGAAGGCGUUAAGGUUAAUAACCUUGGCGAUUGACGUUACCCGCAGAAGAAGCACCGGCUAACUCCGUGCCAGCAGCCGCGGUAAUACGGAGGGUGCAAGCGUUAAUCGGAAUUACUGGGCGUAAAGCGCACGCAGGCGGUCUGUCAAGUCGGAUGUGAAAUCCCCGGGCUCAACCUGGGAACUGCAUUCGAAACUGGCAGGCUAGAGUCUUGUAGAGGGGGGUAGAAUUCCAGGUGUAGCGGUGAAAUGCGUAGAGAUCUGGAGGAAUACCGGUGGCGAAGGCGGCCCCCUGGACAAAGACUGACGCUCAGGUGCGAAAGCGUGGGGAGCAAACAGGAUUAGAUACCCUGGUAGUCCACGCCGUAAACGAUGUCGAUUUGGAGGUUGUGCCCUUGAGGCGUGGCUUCCGGAGCUAACGCGUUAAAUCGACCGCCUGGGGAGUACGGCCGCAAGGUUAAAACUCAAAUGAAUUGACGGGGGCCCGCACAAGCGGUGGAGCAUGUGGUUUAAUUCGAUGCAACGCGAAGAACCUUACCUGGUCUUGACAUCCACAGAACUUUCCAGAGAUGGAUUGGUGCCUUCGGGAACUGUGAGACAGGUGCUGCAUGGCUGUCGUCAGCUCGUGUUGUGAAAUGUUGGGUUAAGUCCCGCAACGAGCGCAACCCUUAUCCUUUGUUGCCAGCGGUUCGGCCGGGAACUCAAAGGAGACUGCCAGUGAUAAACUGGAGGAAGGUGGGGAUGACGUCAAGUCAUCAUGGCCCUUACGACCAGGGCUACACACGUGCUACAAUGGCAUAUACAAAGAGAAGCGACCUCGCGAGAGCAAGCGGACCUCAUAAAGUAUGUCGUAGUCCGGAUUGGAGUCUGCAACUCGACUCCAUGAAGUCGGAAUCGCUAGUAAUCGUAGAUCAGAAUGCUACGGUGAAUACGUUCCCGGGCCUUGUACACACCGCCCGUCACACCAUGGAAGUGGGUUGCAAAAGAAGUAGGUAGCUUAACCUUCGGGAGGGCGCUUACCACUUUGUGAUUCAUGACUGGGGUGAAGUCGUAACAAGGUAACCGUAGGGGAACCUGCGGUUGGAUCACCU